ensembl:lncRNA
AUGCUCCCAAAGGUUGACAGGGAAAGGGUGGCCAACUUCAUGUGCCACAACAUCCAGACGGCAGACAAAUAUUAUGCCAUGAAUUUAAAUCCAACCCAAGCAAAUGAAACCAGGGCACUCUUUGAGGCUGCACUGAAGGGGGAAGAUAACACAGUCGCCGCAGAGAACCAGCCCUCCACCUCAGGAGAAAGAAAGCAGAAGGUGAGAGAGGAUGCCUCCCUCUCCGACGGGAGCACCACCCCUGAAGAGACCAAGGUGAUGUACCAGGAGUCUGGCACGUCCGCCGGUGACUCGGAAGAGGAGGAAGAGGAUGAAGAUGAGGAACAGAUGGCCAGACAACUUCCAGAGACACCUUCCAAGGUGACCAAUCCUCAGGUGGAGAUGGAACUUACCCCAAAGAGGAAGCGGAGCAUCUGCACACGCCGCAUGGAGGUCGCCAUCAGCCCCAUGCUAGUCUCACCGCUCAAAGUGAGGCUCAAGUCGCCCCCCCACCAGUCCCUCAUUGUCACAUUAAAAGGGAUGCAACAACUAAACUCAAAUAAAGUAAGACUAAAAAAUGCCAUUGCCUCAUGGAGGUUAAAGCUGCAGGAGAAGGUGCAAAAGAGAGGAGGGGACCCCUGAUGCAGCUCGAAGGAAGGGGAGCCGACCAACAACAAGACUUCCUCUUCCAAAUAGUCAUGUAGAUUGUUUUAGACUCUCACAUUUAUACUGUUCUGAUUUUGUUUGGUUUGAUUUUCAAUUUUGGUGUGCUUGUUUACAUUUUAGAAGUGUAAAAUGUGUGUAAUUUAGUCUAACUGUCUGUUCAAUUUUCUAUUUUGGUGUGAUUCUUUAUAAUGUAAAGGUUUGUUCUGUUUUAUUAAAUAACUAGUUGAGUAAUUCUUUGUGUUGUGCUUUCUUUAAGGUUUAUAUUUAGUUUGUCACUUAAUUUGUAAGUGUUAAACAUUCACUGUCUUGUGUUGUUGUCUGUGAAGGUAGGAACAAAUAUUUAGGCAUUAUUGGCAUGGGAAUCAUAUGUUUACAUUGGCAAAGCAAAUUAAGUAGAUAAUAAACAAAAGUGAAAUAAACAAUAAAGUCCUGCUGUAGACUGUACUACUGCUGUUCAGGAAGCACAAUUUGAACUAGAAACUUACACAGACAGGCUGAAAUAAACACUAAAAAAUAACAAAUGGCAUCACCGUAAUAUCCCGCUUGACCGUAGCUCGCUCGAACUGAGCGCAGCGACCAUGAGAAAAGUAAGCCCAAAAUGAAGCCUGCCCCACAACGUCAUUUGCUUUUGGGUGACAGUGAGAGAACCGUUAGGUUUAGAAGGACAAUUCAACCACAGGAAUGUUCCUAACGUCCUUCCAAUCCAUGCAAGCCUUACCUUGACCGUGUGGCAUUAACCCUUAAAAAUAAAACAGGGUUUUUUGAUCUCACAGAUUACAAUGACAUCUCUCCCCAUAGGAAUACAUUGACAGCUCCCCUAAAUUCAACCUGGAGCCUAUGUGGGUUAAUAAUGCCUUAUGAACCUGUCUUCAAUGCCAAUCCAUCAGGCCACUAUGAGGUCUACCUGUGUCGAUUCUAAGCUUCCUGGAGCAACCGGAAGUGGUUAAAUUCACCCAAAAUGUAUUUUGAUGUACAUAACCUGCAAAUGUGAAAAUGACUGCAUUCAACCCUGGGUAGAUCAGUCAAUUCUUAACAUAAAGACUUUAAACUCAGGAUUCUGUAAGAGAAUACCCAAAGCAAAAUAUUUGUUUACCUAUAGCUUCCUGUGCCAACCGGAAGUGCCUUUAAUUGGUGUCUCAGGGGCUUCUCCUUAGGAGGGAUGGGGACACCACCACGGGACAGACCCCACACUCAUCGCUAGAGAUCGAACUUCAGACUCCCUUCAAAACCACUGAACCCCUCAACACACCGAAAGAGAUUACGGUGCACACCCUUAGAGGGAGCCGGAACAGGAUAACUCCCUCCACCAUCACAGAGACACAGAGGAGGAGGAACUAUCCAACACCCAGGGAGAGAGAACAAGUGACGUCAGUCGAACACAGUCAGAAAGAGGAGGUGGAAGAGGCGUUAGAUAGAGGAGGAUAUUACCCCAGAGGCCAUUCCUCCUGUUCAUGUGAGCAAGAAAGAGCAGAAGGCUUCUGAUCAGCCAAAUGGCAGGCAGAGGGAGAGGUCAUAGUGAUUCACACCCACAGAGAGAAAGACAACCCACACAACCUCUUGGUUGAGAUGAACCACACAGGUAGAGGCAGAGGGCCUUCAAGGCUAGCCAGUCAGCCUGCCUGCUCUGAUCCUCAAGUCAAUUGUAUAUAAAUUCAUGUUCAUUAAAGAUUUUUAUUCAAGAAUUGACAAGUCCCAUUUCGUUAAAGGGGUCACCCUUUUCCUGCUACAAACACAACUUGCAUAUCAUCACAGACUAGGCCAAAACGUUAAUCUUUUAACCUUGCCUGAAUAAAACAAUGCAUUUUUUAUAGUGAGCAAGAGUUGCUCCUUUUCCUUUUCUAUGAUGAUUCAAAUAUUUGGUUGCACCUCAACUGAACGUUGGUUGAGGGCCCCUUUUUUUUAAUUAAAAGCAUUAAAAUUGUGAUGUUUCUCACUUAUUUACAUAACCUACUCCACACUUGCAAAGUGAAAGUUUAUAGAAAUGUUCUGAAAUUAAGUAGUAAACAGAAGAAAAGCAGAAUUGAGUCCAAUUAUAAUGCGAAUAAUUGAAUGGUCUAUGGUUCAAUCCCAUUUCUGAAGGUCUGAUGAAUAAUUAAUAUUGUUUCUCCUCUUCCUUGUGGCAGGGGCAGCAGCACACUGCCCUCCAAAGAUUGCAAAAUAAUAGCCGGACUGCCCCUUUCCUAGCUCUGCAUGGAACUUCCAGUGCCACGU